CACGUAGGGCGCAAGCGUUUGUCCGGAAUUAUUGGGCGUAAAGAGCUCGUAGGCGGUCUGUCGCGUCUGCUGUGAAAACUCGGGGCUUAACCCCGGGCCUGCAGUGGGUACGGGCAGACUAGAGUGCGGUAGGGGAGACUGGAAUUCCUGGUGUAGCGGUGGAAUGCGCAGAUAUCAGGAGGAACACCGGUGGCGAAGGCGGGUCUCUGGGCAGUAACUGACGCUGAGGAGCGAAAGCGUGGGGAGCAAACAGG
rnacentral:rRNA from 1 species